rnacentral:rRNA from 1 species
UACGGAGGGUGCAAGCGUUAAUCGGAAUUACUGGGCGUAAAGCGUGCGCAGGCGGUUUGUUAAGUCUGAUGUGAAAUCCCCGGGCUCAACCUGGGAAUGGCAUUGGAUACUGGCUCGCUAGAGUGCGGUAGAGGGUGGUGGAAUUCCCGGUGUAGCAGUGAAAUGCGUAGAGAUCGGGAGGAACAUCCGUGGCGAAGGCGGCCACCUGGACCAACACUGACACUGAGGCACGAAAGCGUGGGGAGCAAACAGG